rnacentral:rRNA from 1 species
GAUGAACGCUAGCGGCAGGCUUAAUACAUGCAAGUCGAGGGGUAGCAAGAUUGUAGCAAUACAAUUGUUGACGACCGGCAAACGGGUGCGGAACACGUACACAACCUUCCUACAAGUGGGGAAUAGCCCAGAGAAAUUUGGAUUAAUACCCCGUAACAUAGCGAUGUGGCAUCACAUUAUUAUUAUAGCUACGGCGCUUAUUGAUGGGUGUGCGGCUGAUUAGAUAGUUGGCGGGGUAACGGCCCACCAAGUCUACGAUCAGUAGCUGAUGUGAGAGCAUGAUCAGCCACACGGGAACUGAGACACGGGCCCGACUCCUACGGGAGGCAGCAGUAAGGAAUAUUGGUCAAUGGACGCAAGUCUGAACCAGCCAUGCCGCGUGAAGGAUUAAGGUCCUCUGGAUUGUAAACUUCUUUUAUCUGGGACGAAAAAAGGCGAUUCUUCGUCACUUGACGGUACCAGAUGAAUAAGCACCGGCUAACUCCGUGCCAGCCGCCGCCGUAAAAC